CUCCUUUUUAACUUGGCCUGUGCUUUUGAUCUAAUUCCCAGAACGAGUCGAAAUUCAUAGUCAUUGUCUAUCCUCUUCAGUUGGCUUCUAGCGCGUUUUAUGGAAUUCUGGUGGUGUGACAAGUGGGUCUGUAACACUGACAGGAGUCAUCCUAAGAUUUUCUUGAGAUUUGACCCGCUUUUGCCAAAUAUGUUUCCUGACUGGGACCCAGAGAGUCGAGAUUGAAGAGGAUUCUGGAAGCUGUGAGAGAUGGAGCGACUGACACUGAUUAACAAAUGUGGAAAGAGCCUUCGUGUCAAAGUGGAUCACUGUGGGAAAACAGAUUUUGAAAUUUGCGCUGAAGUGGGCUGUAUAGGAAUCUACGAUCGAUCCAUAUGCAUCACUGCUGAGUACAAGACCGGGUAUUUUUGGCCAUUUAGAACAUUAUGGAAAGGAGAGAAGAAAAUAACUACAGAAAAAACCAUCAUAUUGUCCAGGUCAAGCGUGAUUGGUAAAAUCGAGAUCAAAGAGGCAAAUUAGGGAUGUGUAAUUCCUGAUCCUGUGCCUCCCCCAGGUCAGGAUAAGAUCACCCUGUGUCCCAAAAUACAAUAAACUGAUCAAUGAAACUUCA